UAGAGUAAUGCGUGACCAACCUGCCCCAUGCUCCAGAAUAGCUCUUGGAAACGGGUGGUAAUGCUGGAUGCUCCAACUUGACGCAUGUCUUGUUGGGAAAGUGUUUAGUGGCAUGGGAUGGGGUCGCGUCCUAUCAGCUUGUAGGCGGGGUAAUGGCCCACCUAGGCUUCGACGGGUAGCCGGCCUGAGAGACCGACCGGCCAGAUUGGGACUGAGACACGGCCCAGACUCCUACGGGAGGCAGCAGCC
rnacentral:rRNA from 1 species